GAUGAACGCUGUCGGCGUGCCUAAUACAUGCAAGUCGAGCGAACGGACGAGAAGCUUGCUUCUCUGAUGUUAGCGGCGGACGGGUGAGUAACACGUGGAUAACCUACCUAUAAGACUGGGAUAACUUCGGGAAACCGGAGCUAAUACCGGAUAAUAUUUUGAACCGCAUGGUUCAAAAGUGAAAGACGGUCUUGCUGUCACUUAUAGAUGGAUCCGCGCUGCAUUAGCUAGUUGGUAAGGUAACGGCUUACCAAGGCAACGAUGCAUAGCCGACCUGAGAGGGUGAUCGGCCACACUGGAACUGAGACACGGUCCAGACUCCUACGGGAGGCAGCAGUAGGGAAUCUUCCGCAAUGGGCGAAAGCCUGACGGAGCAACGCCGCGUGAGUGAUGAAGGUCUUCGGAUCGUAAAACUCUGUUAUUAGGGAAGAACAUAUGUGUAAGUAACUGUGCACAUCCUGACGGUACCUAAUCAGAAAGCCACGGCUAACUACGUG
rnacentral:rRNA from 1 species